rnacentral:rRNA from 1 species
UACAGAGGGGGCAAGCGUUGUUCGGAAUUACUGGGCGUAAAGGGCGCGUAGGCGGCCUGUUAAGUCGAACGUGAAAUCCCCGGGCUCAACCCGGGAACUGCGUCCGAUACUGGCAGGCUUGAAUUCGGGAGAGGGAUGCGGAAUUCCAGGUGUAGCGGUGAAAUGCGUAGAUAUCUGGAGGAACACCGGUGGCGAAGGCGGCAUCCUGGACCAACACUGACACUGAGGAGCGAAAGCCAGGGGAGCAAACGGG